ACGUAGGGGGCAAGCGUUGUCCGGAUUUACUGGGUGUAAAGGGCGCGCAGGCGGGAUAGCAAGUCAGAGGUGAAAUCCUACAGCUUAACUGUAGAACUGCCUUUGAUACUGUUAUUCUUGAGUUCGGGAGAGAGAGACGGAAUUCCAGGUGUAGUGGUGAAAUACGUAGAUAUCUGGAAGAACACCAGUUGCGAAGGCGGUCUCUUGGUCCGAUACUGACGCUGAGGCGCGAAAGCGUGGGGAGCAAACAGG
rnacentral:rRNA from 1 species